GCAUUAAUGGGGUAGUGGUAUGUAACCUGGGGUCGUUGCCAUCGACCCGCCGGGGGUUCGAUUCCCCCUUAAUGCA